AAAAGAAAAUUGACAUGUAAAUGCUUCCACCUUACUGUAGUGCGUCAGGGAUGUUCGCGGAUGCGCACACUGAUGAUUAUUUCGCGAUCAUGCGCAAAAAAGUGGCAUCAGUGGUACGCAGAUCGAGGGGAAGCAGCAACAGCAUUCUGAAGGUAUUUUCAGAAAGGCUAGAAGGGCCUGUUAUGGAUAGAUUUAUCAAGCUGCAUGUUAGACAUGGGACUUGAUAAAUCUUCUAAUAAUCCUGGAUGUAUUGUGUGUAUUAUUUUAUAUUAUUUUGUACUUGUGUGUUACUACUAACAUAGUUUGUAAGUUUGUACUGUUUACUAACACGCUAUGGGCCGUCGAUGCCUGAAAAUAAAAGAUUUUUUUUUUUUUUUU